UGUUAAAAUUUUUAUCUACUUGUAUUAUUAAAAACUAACGUCGUCAAUGAAAUAAUCAAAUAAUGACAUGUCAUGUAUCACAUGUAUCUCAUGUUGAUAUAAAUGGAUCAUUUUAACUGUAUAAAUUAAUAAAAUUUUUAAGA
rnacentral:pre_miRNA from 1 species